rnacentral:ncRNA from 1 species
CAACCUCAACUCAUAUGGGACUACCCCCUGAAUUUAAGCAUAUUAAUUAGGGGAGGAAAAGAAACUAACAAGGAUUUUCUUAGUAGCGGCGAGCGAAAAGAAAUCAGUUCAGCACUAAGUCACUUUGUCUAUAUGGCAAAUGUGAGAUGCAGUGUAUGGAGCGUCAAUAUUCUAGUAUGAGAAAUUAACGAUUUAAGUCCUUCUUAAAUGAGGCCAUUUACCCAUAGAGGGUGCCAGGCCCGUAUAACGUUAAUGAUUACUAGAUGAUGUUUCCAAAGAGUCGUGUUGCUUGAUAGUGCAGCACUAAGUGGGUGGUAAACUCCAUCUAAAACUAAAUAUAACCAUGAGACCGAUAGUAAACAAGUACCGUGAGGGAAAGUUGAAAAGAACUCUGAAUAGAGAGUUAAAUAGUACGUGAAACUGCUUAGAGGUUAAGCCCGAUGAACCUGAAUAUCCGUUAUGGAAAAUUCAUCAUUAAAGUUAUAAUAUUUAAACAAUAUUAUACAAAUAAUGUGCAUUUUUUCCAUAUAAGGACAUUGUAAUCUAUUAACAUAUUAAAUUUAUCAUAAAAUAUGGCUUAUAGUUUAUUCAAAUUAUUA